rnacentral:rRNA from 1 species
GUUGUGAGGUUAAGCGACUAAGCGUACACGGUGGAUGCCCUGGCAGUCAGAGGCGAUGAAGGGCGUACUAAUCUGCGAUAAGCGCCGGUAAGGUGAUAUGAACCGUUAUAACCGGCGAUACCCGAAUGGGGAAACCCAGUGUGAUUCGUCACACUAUCAUUAACUGAAUCCAUAGGUUAAUGAGGCGAACCGGGGGAACUGAAACAUCUAAGUACCCCGAGGAAAAGAAAUCAACCGAGAUUCCCCCAGUAGCGGCGAGCGAACGGGGAGGAGCCCAGAGCCUGAAUCAGCAUGUGUGUUAGUGGAAGCGUCUGGAAAGGCGCGCGAUACAGGGUGACAGCCCCGUACACAAAAGCGCAUGUGCUGUGAGCUCGAUGAGUAGGGCGGGACACGUGGUAUCCUGUCUGAAUAUGGGGGGACCAUCCUCCAAGGCUAAAUACUCCUGACUGACCGAUAGUGAACCAGUACCGUGAGGGAAAGGCGAAAAGAACCCCGGCGAGGGGAGUGAAAAAGAACCUGAAACCGU